UACCUAUAACUGUUGCUUCGGCGGGUAGGGUCUCCGCGACCCUCCCGGCCUCCCGCCUCCGGGCGGGUCGGCGCCCGCCGGAGGAUAACCAAACUCUGAUUUAACGACGUUUCUUCUGAGUGGUACAAGCAAAUAAUCAAAACUUUUAACCACCGGAUCUCUUGGUUCUGGCAUCGAUGAAGAACGCAGCGAAAUGCGAUAAGUAAUGUGAAUUGCAGAAUUCAGUGAAUCAUCGAAUCUUUGAACGCACAUUGCGCCCGCCAGCAUUCUGGCGGGCAUGCCUGUUCGAGCGUCAUUUCAACCCUCAAGCUCUGCUUGGUGUUGGGGCCCUACAGCUGAUGUAGGCCCUCAAAGGUAGUGGCGGACCCUCCCGGAGCCUCCUUUGCGUAGUAACUUUACGUCUCGCACUGGGAUCCGGAGGGACUCUUGCCGUAAAACCCCCCAAUUUUCCAAAGGUUGACCUCGGAUCAGGUAGGAAUACCCCGCUGAACUUAAGCAUAUCAAUA
rnacentral:rRNA from 1 species